AGUGCUUGCAUAGCAUUUUACUAUAGUGCGCGGCAUCGUAUUCGUAAACUCGUAACGAAUAGUAUGCCAUACCUAUAAUGCCUUUAGAACUUAUAAAAAAUCAACGUGGUCGAGAUAUUUUUAUUUAUAAUGGUUUUAUUCAUAAACAAGAAAGGACGAUUGAAGAUAAAAUAAUUUUGAAAUGCAAUGAAAAAAAAAAUGUACUAGUCGAGCUCAUACAAUUCAAGAUAACGUCACAAAAUUCACCGAUCAUCAUCAUGUACAAAAUAGGGAUUUUCUUGUUUUAAUCUGGGUUCAGAUGGAGGAUUGCGUCAAGAGAUUCUGUCAAGUUUAGGAUUAUUCGCUCUUGGACGUCUAGAUGAUAUUCCAUUAGUCACUGUUCGGUAAUGAGUCGUUGGUCAUAUGCUUUGCAAAUGAGAGGUUGAUCUUUUGACACGAGGAAUCCAUAAGAAAACAGUUUGCACCCGGGGUCUGAUGACUAGCACUUGCGCUCACCCACAACAGCGUACCAUUGUUAGCUCUUGAGAGCUGUUAACAAAACUCAAAGAAAUUAUGGGUUAUUGAAUCCAAAGCGUCGACGGGCUUAGGGCCAUCUACGGACCACCAGUGUCGAAACCCCAUGUCAUCCACGAGCAUGGCACUCGUACCAAAAGUUGGGUGUUUCGUGUCUACUGCCCAAUCGUCUUGGUCGAGUCGAGUUUCCGCCAACCUUUGUCAUAUUUUCGGUUACAGAUAAUCUUUGGUGUAUGUCUCAUCCAGCAGAGCAGCAAGACAUUCGGAAGAAACGCCACUGUCUGCACCAUACAACAUUCACAAUGUCUGAAUACCAUCAAAACCCGCACCGAACUUAUUGAAAAACUUCGCCUGGACUAUUAUCUAUCCUCAACCGUAUCAGUUGCUCCCGCAACAGCUACCACCAAGCCCAUAUAAGGGUACUCUGCCAAGCGUCAUCACCACUAAUGUCGGAAUACCAUCGGAUCUGUGAUGCAUUUCUAUUUUAACGGACCAAUAUCCCCUUACAGGUAUAUGUGGACAUACAGCGACAAACACGCGCGAUUUCGGUCGACGAACUUAAAUAAGUAGCCAUGGGCAUGAAGAUGGGAAAAUAUUAGGUCAUUGCAAUAUGAAAAGGUCCGGAGAUGACUACAUUGCACACGUAUGGGGGCAGGGAGAAAUAGACUUAAUGUUCCGUAAUGUACGAAUUCGUACGUUAGCACAUACAUCACGCAGAUUGUAAUAAUUGGCGUUCAUAAUUAAAUAUUGGACCUAUGUAAAUGUAAACGUUACAAGGUGUAUGUAAAUUAUUGUACUAUAGGGAUGUAAAUGUAGAUAUCAUUAGAUUAUACGAUGAACGUAAAAAUUACUUUAGUCAUAAAUAGUCGAACCUAAUCUAAAUCGGGCGAAGUGAUGUGAUUCGGUCAGUUUAUUUAUAUUUGUAUCAGUACGGGUUUUUGUGUUUUAUUCGUGAACUUAACUUUAAUUUGCAUUUUAUUGA